UUCAAAUAAUAAGCGGUCAUAGCUUGUAACGCACAAAUAAAGAAUGGAUACUCUUUCAAUGAAAGAAAAUUGAUAGGAUUGAUAAAUAGCAGUACUAUCAGAAUUGGUAAAACAAUACCAAUUAUACCGGAUGAUGAGUUUUACUGUGUACACAGGAACCUCCGAGAAGAGACAUUGCCAUGGAUUAUACCAAACGAUAUUCCAACAAAACUUGGAAGUACAACUAUAAUUAGAAAGAGAACAGCUGGAAAAACAACACAGUUACAAUGUAAAUGAAAUCCGAAGAUUCUUUUGUACUACAUAGACUGAUGGAAACGAAAAAUAAUGUGCAAAAAAUACGAAAAAAGAACUUCAGUAAAAUUU